ensembl:lncRNA
UUCUCUUAGACUCCAUUUAAGGGCUGACUGCCAUGGGAGAAGGCUUCUGGAGAUCCCUCCUUGGUGAAGCUUUCCUCUGUGAACCUGGAAUCUUCUGAUAUGGAAUGUGCUCUUCAACAUAGAGAGAAACAACUCUUGUAGGAAGAAUCAAAGCGCACUUCCUCAUUUCAGCUGACAUAUCUUAAAUAGUACAGUCAUUUUCAUAAUAAAAUGUCACAUCCUUCUCUAGAUAUAAGCUGCUCUGGACAUCUGUGAAGAGGGAUGCCAACUUAGAUAUUAGAUUUGAACACAGUGUGCAAGUCUCAGCAGUGAAGAAGAAUCCCACAGAAGAACUCAGAGGUGGUAGGCUCAAGGUAAAAGGGCAGCUGAGCCAGAAAUGAGACCUCUCCCACCACUACCAUUCUCUGUUCCAGCUUCUGUGUCUUUUUUUUUUUUUUUUUUUUUUUUGAGUCUAACCUGAAAUGGAACUUCUUAACUAAUGUGUUUGUGCUCUUCCUGCUAAAGUUCAACACUUUUACCCAGAGAAGACGUGGCAACAUCAGUAAAAAAGACAAUCCUGCCAGCCUGCCCUCCUGGCUGCCUGUUCCUGUGUCUUGUCCUCUCUUGUACAAAGGUAUCCGUGAGGCCACACUGAAAACAGAUCAGGAAACUCAUCUGGCUGAAAGCUACUGGUAUUUUUCCUGCUACGUUAGUUUCUAGCUGGAUCAGUCUUCUGAGUCACUGCUGUAGAGUCAUACAGGCAGCUGUGAAGGACAAAGGUUGGGGCAGGAACAGUUAGCAGCUAGCAGGGAAAAGAAGCAGGGUGUGGAGUGGACAGAUCUGCUUCUUCCGUUAGCAGUGCCUGUGUUUGCUGUCCUAUACUGUCUCUUAGGAAGCAGCCUUCCUCCAGGGCCUGGGGUUUGAUUUGCAAAGGCAUUCACAGUUACAAGUGAAUUCCUGGAGAGCUGUGCUUCCUUGAAAAGAAGGUUCUAGCUACUUAAUCUGGAAAAUGGGGAUAAUAAUAUCACCUUACAGGAAAGGGGUAACAAUGCAUUCGUUACUGUUAGUGAAACGUUUGGCUCUGACAAUCACUCCAGAUCAACUUUGUUGGCAAUGCAUUCUCCCGUCUUGUUAGUGGACAAGAGCAUGCAAGAAAGGAAGGUGUGGAGCUACAUUCCAACUCCUCAGCCUUCAGAGAAACCGUGGAGAAAGUUGUGUAAUCCUACAAUUACAAUUUAUAUUAUAAAGUGUGUGUGUCCAAGGAAUCUGAAAUAAUGGUAUAAGCAGAUGGCAUUUGGCUUUUAUUACUUCUGAGUGUUUGACUUUUCACCAUUAAUCUUUUAAUGUAUGGGAGGGGAGUUCUGUGUUAAAUACAGUUUACAGAAGCCCUUU